rnacentral:rRNA from 1 species
CGCGGCCUAUCAGCUUGUUGGUGAGGUAAUGGCUCACCAAGGCUUCGACGGGUAGCCGGCCUGAGAGGGCGACCGGCCACACUGGGACUGAGAUACGGCCCAGACUCCUACGGGAGGCAGCAGUGGGGAAUAUUGCACAAUGGGCGCAAGCCUGAUGCAGCAACGCCGCGUGCGGGAUGACGGCCUUCGGGUUGUAAACCGCUUUCAGUAGGGACGAAGCUAACGUGACGGUACCUACAGAAGAAGGACCGGCUAACUACGUGCCAGCAGCCGCGGUGAUACGUAGGGUCCGAGCGUUGUCCGGAAUUAUUGGGCGUAAAGGGCUUGUAGGCGGUCCGUCGCGUCAGGAGUGAAAACUCGGGGCUUAACCCCGAGCCUGCUUUUGAUACGGGCGGACUAGAGGGAUGCAGGGGAGAACGGAAUUCCUGGUGGAGCGGUGGAAUGCGCAGAUAUCAGGAGGAACACCGGUGGCGAAGGCGGUUCUCUGGGCAUCACCUGACGCUGAGAAGCGAAAGCGUGGGGAGCAAACAGGCUUAGAUACCCUGGUAGUCCACGCCGUAAACGGUGGGCACUAGGCGUGGGGGACAUUCCACGUUCUCCGUGCCGAAGCUAACGCAUUAAGUGCCCCGCCUGGGGAGUACGG